AUCCAACUGACGAGUCCCAAAUAGGACAAAACGCGCGUCGUGGAU
rfam:Schistosoma mansoni strain Puerto Rico chromosome 2, complete genome